CCUACGGGAGGCAGCAGUCGAGAAUCAUUCACAAUGGGGGAAACCCUGAUGGGGCGACGCCGCGUGGGGGAAUGAAGGUCUUCGGAUUGUAAACCCCUGUCAUGUGGGAGCAAAUUAAAAAGAUAGUACCACAAGAGGAAGAGACGGCUAACUCUGUGCCAGCAGCCGCGGUAAUACAGAGGUCUCAAGCGUUGUUCGGAAUCACUGGGCGUAAAGGGUGCGUAGGCUGUUUCGUAAGUCGGGUGUGAAAGGCGCGGGCUCAACCCGCGGACGGCACAUGAUACUGCGAGACUAGAGUAAUGGAGUGGGAACCGGAAUUCUCGGUGUAGCAGUGAAAUGCGUAGAUAUCGAGAGGAACACUCGUGGCGAAGGCGGGUUCCUGGACAUUAACUGACGCUGAGGCACGAAGGCCAGGGGAGCGAAAGGGAUUAGAUACCCCUGUAGUC
rnacentral:rRNA from 1 species